UAUUACUCGCCUUCCCUUCAACUCUCUCUCCCUCCCCUCCUUUAUCACCCUCUCUGUCUCUUUCUCUCUCUCUCUCUUUCUCUCUCUCUCUUUCUCCAACAACUACUGAACGCGUGUCUCUUCAUAGUAUACACACACGCCUUUUUGCCGUCUUGGUCGCCACUUGUAUUUUCUCUUUUCACUGAGUAACAGCACCAGCUUCACUGCAUCCGCACAACUAGACGAACCAAUUGUGGUUUAAUCGAAGAAGCGAGCAGGCGUAAAAACCAACUGAAAUGUGUACCUGUGUUCCUGGUGCUACUGGGACUCACCAGUCAAGUAAUAACUUCUGCUCUCGCUUUAUAAAGCACCAAUGUUCUGAAUAUUUGGAUGGUAAAACUGUAAUUGUUACUGGAGCAAAUACAGGACUUGGAAAACAGACUGCUUUAGAGUGUGCAAAAAGGAAUGCCAGGGUGAUUAUGGCUUGUAGAAAUCUAGAAAAGGCUGAAGCAGCCGCAAAAGAAAUACGUGAUGCUACAAAAGAUUCUGGUAAAAAUGAGGUUGUCGUACGUGAAUUAGAUCUGUCUUCAUUCGAGUCUGUCCGUAAAUUUUGUGCAAGGAUAAAUGAGGAGGAACCACAUUUAGAUAUUUUAGUCAAUAAUGCUGGAGUUUAUCGUUGUCCUUCAUUAUAUACAGAAGAUGGAUUCGAAACACAUUUUCAAGUGAACCACUUGGGACAUUUUCUAUUAACAACAUUGCUUCUGGAUUUGCUAAAAAAGUCUGCUCCAUCAAGAAUUGUAGUACUGUCCAGUUUCAUGUACAAAGACGCUCGGAUAAACUUUGAUGAUAUUAACUGGAGGGACAGUUAUAAUGGCACUGAAGCUUACAAAUCUAGCAAACUUGCAAAUCUCUGGUUUUGUCGUGAAUUAUCCAAGAGAUUAGAAGGCAGUGGGGUUAAUGUCUAUUGUGUUAAUCCAGGAAUUGUUCUCACAGAUAUUAUGCGUCACACAGUGCCACAAUUUUUAAGAUAUUUUGAUUGCAUUUCCAGAUUAUUUUUGAAAACUCCUGCACAAGGAGCACAGACAACUUUGUAUUGUAUUCUGUCUGAAAAGUUACAAAAUGAAUCUGGUUACUACUAUUCAAAUUGCAGCCAAGAAGACCUUAAUAGCAAUGGACUAAAUGAGGAUGGAGCGAAAAGACUAUGGGAAGUUAGUGAAAAAGCUGUUAAAAGGGAAUAAAACAGUGAAAUUCUGGAACACUGUGUGGAGUAAAUAUAAGCUCCUAUUGAGCCAAGUCAACAAGAGAGACAGAGACUGGAGGCCAGAAAUUAUUGAGGGCAGGAUGAAGUCAGUUCCUUUAACUAUGGUACUCAACUGUGUUACCUUUUUCUACAGCAUUUCACUUUCUGAAGUAAGCAUUUUAUAGACUGCAAUUUCUGAAAAUAUUAGUAGAAUUUCUUCUUGUCAUAUCCUUCAUGUCCUUUUUCUUUUUACGAACUACUUUUUGUGCAAAUUAGGAACUUCAUUUUCUUUUUAAUAACAACUUUUAGAGCUGAGCCUAUUAAA